GGGGCCAUAGUUCAAUGGAUAGAAUGCCCGGCUUCGAACCGGUCGGUUGCAAGUUCGAGUCUUGCUGGCCCCACCA
rnacentral:tRNA from 1 species